GCAGUGCCCAGAAUUCUUUGAAGGAAAGGAGAUUCUUCAGAUACACUUUAAAGUGUCAUUCUGGUUCUCUGCAGCAAAUAAAUAUUGAGGACACAAAGAACCUGUUUUUCAGAAUCUGCCCUCAAGCAAUGCUAACUCGAAAAAGAGUUAAAAAUAACUUCGAAAGAGACAAUAAUGCCAUGCAGUUCAACUCACUGUAGGAGGGUAUUUGUACAAGGAGGCAUUGCCUGGAUGAAUCUCUGCCAUUGACUGCAUGUCAGCAUCUCUUGCAUUCACGAGUCGCAAGUACAGCUCUGCUUUGCCCAGCUGUGAGGGAAAAACAAGGUGUGGUCUGGUUGGGAUUAAAACAGAUGCGAAAAUAACUGAA